rnacentral:rRNA from 1 species
UGAGGAAUAUUGGUCAAUGGACGAGAGUCUGAACCAGCCAAGUAGCGUGCAGGAUGACGGCCCUAUGGGUUGUAAACUGCUUUUGUUUGGGAAUAAUCGACAUUACGUGUAAUGUUUUGCAUGUACCAUUCGAAUAAGGACCGGCUAAUUCCGUGCCAGCAGCCGCGGUAAUACGGAAGGUCCAGGCGUUAUCCAGAUUUCUUGGGUUUAAAGGGAGUGUAGGCGGUUGGUUAAGCCUGUUGUGAAAUGUAGAUGCUCAACAUCUGACUUGAAGCGCGAACUGGCUGACUUGAGUACACACAACGUAGGCGGAAUUCAUGGUGUAGCUGUGAAAUGCUUAGUUAUCAAUAAGAACUCCGAUUGCUAAGGCAGCUUACGAGGGUGUUACUGACGCUUAAGCUCGAAGGUGCGGAUAUCGAACAGG